CGCCGCGAUGAGCGACUCCAUCCGGGUCCUGGGCGCCGCUCCGGGUCAGCGUGCAGCAGGCUUCAGCAGAUUUGACCAAAAAGUUUGAGGCUUUGACACUGCUCCUGCGACGUGCAGGUAUUGACAGCUGUGCCUCGGAUUUAAAACAGACCUGGGGGAAUUACAUCUCUGGAAGAAGAUUGUAAUUUAACUCACAUUUUUAAAAGAGAUUUGAGUUUUAGAUACCUUUCUUGCCCUGCAUCUUGCUGUCUGUCCAGAGGUGACAUCUUGAGAGCCCCUAACGGUUGGUAUAAUUUUCAAGUCUGAGGUCAAAAUCUUUCUAAGUGACUUGUUGCAUGAGGCAAGGGGAAGCUUUCUCUGUGAUAAACUGUUCUGUGUAAUAUAGAUGCUGUCUUGCAGCUAACUUGUCUCUGGUAAAACAACAUUUCCUCUACAUCUGAACUAAGAAGAUGCCUGCACUGUGGGAUGAGGUAGUAGGUUGUAUAGUUUUAGGGUCAUACCCACAACUGGGAGAUAACUAUACAAUCUACUGUCUUUCCUAAAGCAGCAGAAAAUCAGCAAUGUCAGAUCUUUCACUUUAAAAACUUAUUGUCCAGUUAUUCAGAACUUCUCUAGUUCAAAGGGCUUGUGGGCAGAGAAAAUACAUUUCUGUAGCAUAGCAGAGUUGAUACAUAAUGUCUGGAUUUGUUUAUCCCUGGAAGGUCAGUUUCUUUACCAUUCUGAUUUUCACGUUAGAUUUUUUUAAAAUUCUCUUUAGGGGAGCAGCACAGGUAUGGAAGAAUAGAUUUCAUCCUAACUGUAUAUUGUAUGGGGUAAUUAAAAACUAAAGCUGUUGAAUUUCUAAUUAAGCAAAAUGCUAGUGGUGGUAAUUGGUGCCAUAAGAUAACUCAUUUGAAGUUGGAUAGCUGUGCAGCUAAGCUAUAUUUCCUGAAACUAGGACUGUUAAGUACAAAUUUCUCUAGCGGAGUGAGGUAGUAGAUUGUAUAGUUGUAGGGUAGUUAUUUUACCCUGUUCAGGAGAUAACUAUACAAUCUAUUGCCUUCCCCGAGGAGUAAAAAAAAAUCUGCAGUCCCUUUGCAUGCUAGUUGAGCAUCCUGAAUUUGCAGUUGGAGAGUGGACUUUCACUCAAGCCUGUAAAAUAUCAGGUGAUUGAGUGGCUGGAUUUACAGCACUAAAUGCUAAUAUAUGGCACACACUAACAUUGCAUUUGGCUUCUGUGCUGAAUUUUUUUCAAAGGUGAGUUGUGUUGCUGAUUUUAUAUAUAAAUGGUCUUUCAAAUGUGUUCUGUUGCAUUACUAAUCUUAAUUUAAAUUGGUCAGAUAACUACACAAGUUUUGAAAUUCAUGGCUGCUCUGACAGCAUGUAGCCAGUAAACGGAUUGGGGAGAAAAUGACUUCAGUAGUACUACCUUGUGUAAACACUUCUGUCUCCCUCCACUUGUCCUCCCCCUAAUGCUAGGAUGUGAGAUUGUUAGUGGUUCUCCACUUUUUCUUUGCACCUUACUAAACAGGAGGGUAAUCCCAAACAGAGUGUAGGAUGUAUGAUCCCCUGAUGCCUGUUUUAACCUUCCCCGGGGGUUAUGAGCCCUAGAAGGUUUUCUUUGCCCAGUAAAUCUCAGCUGGGUACAUCUUAUUUAUUUUUUUAAAUGGCAUAGGCUCAAACUUGUUUUCUCACUGCCUACAAUGGUUAAACCCUGACUAGUUUAAUGUGUUGAAGAAGGAGCUACCUGAUAAGUGAUAAUUUUACCACUUGUUCAGUAAGAACAGCCCCUAGUGGGCUUAAUUAAGGUGAAACUGAAGCAGUAUAUCAGUCAUGAAGCUUUUUAGUCUAGACACAACUUUUUGUAACUGAUCUACCAUUCCUCACUUAAACAAUAUUACCAAAUAAAGCUGAAGUUACCUGGAAAUAUAAAUGGAUGUAAAAUGUCACAGUAUAUGCAUAUCUGAAAAAGUCAAAAGAAACUGCAAUAAAAGUUAACAGCUGAUUUCGCAGUGCAGCUGCUAAAUAGAAGAACUGCAGAAGAAACAGUGGGCUUCUAGGAAGAGGUAGUAGGUUGCAUAGUUUUAGGGCAGGGAUUUUGCUCACAAGGAGUUAACUAUACAACCUGCUGCCUUUCUUAGGGCUUUAUUAUUGCAACAGGACCAUUUUGGCUCAGUCUAAACUUCUGCAGCUUUGAUAUGCGAAGAAAAAACUGGUAUAAGCCAAACCAGUAUUUAAUGAUACUAAGCAUGGCAGCAACAGACUCCUUCUGACAACUCAUGUACAGUACUAACCUCAAGGUUGCAGCAGUAUAGUGCUGCUUUUGAGGACAAACAGAACACACUAUUUGCUCCUUCAGUAAAAGUGAGGGGUGUAAUAGUCUCACCUUCCUUUCAAGAUUAGGCUAAGAUUUUCCAGCACUGAAUAAGAGAGAAAG